AAAACAACCAUCCUCAAUUAACCGAGACUGUAGGAGCCUGAAAAAGGAGAGUUGCUCACAACUACAGGAAUGUUACCUUCAGAGCUAUAGUGUCAAGCAAGAAAGGGAAGGGCCAAGGAGUCAAAAUCGCCUCACCAAUAAAAGCCUAAACCCAACUAUUAUCAGACCUUAAGAACACAACCAACGAAGCACAAUAGAGGCCAAAACAGAGGUGAUAAUAGGCAAAGGACCAAGGAAUCUUAGUUUCAUGUAGCCUUGGGUCAGCCAAAGGCAUGUCAAGCUAGCAAACCCAUCUACGUUCAUCACUGUCUCACCAAGCCAAUAUGUAGGUCUUCCAAUUGCUCUCACCAAAUCCUCCAAACCUGCAAACUCAAACACAACCCAAAAACCUUUGUACACCCAACCUAGAUGAGGGAGAGCUAACCCCAAACUAAGCCAGAGAAAAAAAAUGACUUUCGGGUAGGGGAAGCAAAUGAGAGGUA
rnacentral:misc_RNA from 1 species